CGGACAUAUCGCGUUGAAAUAUUGGUUCUCGUACGAUCGCAGAGGUUAAGCAACGUCGAGCCUGGUCACUACUUAGAUGAAUGACCGCUUGGGAAUACCAGACGCUGUAAG